rnacentral:rRNA from 1 species
CAGCCGGGGGUGGGUAGGGGAGAAGAGGGGGGUGAAGGCGGUAUCGGCUAAUCGGCGGCCGCUCUCCGGGGGCCAGGGAGAGGAAACCUCAAAGACGCCCUUACCUAGGGCCGCUUCCGCCAAGGGGACGGCGAGGUAGCUGAAGGCAACGUCGGGGUCCACUAAAAACGGGGAAAAGGAGCAGAUUAGCUAGCUUGGUCACGGUGGGCAGCUGCGAUUUUGGGAUCGCGCGGCGACAGAGAUUGGUAAGGCACGUCCGCGCCUGCGCCUGUGCUCCCUCCUGCGGCCCUUCGUCCACCACCACUAAGAGCAGCCGGGGGGCCCGUCGCCGUUCAGGUGCAAGCGGCUCCGGCAGUACCGGCCACGGCGGCGACGACCGGCGGGUACCCGGGCGCAGACGGUCCUAUGUUAACCUUUCCCGUUUCGACCUUGGUUUUAUGUCACGAACUUCCGGCGUCGCCUGCGAAACUUCCUCCCUUUCUCACAAGAGUAACUGGCUACGUUGAACCUUGCUCUCGUCGCGAGACUAAAACACUUCGAACCGACGUGCCAUGUUCGCCUACACGUACGACAAAAGAACCUAGAAGGACGUUUCCAAACGUAGAGUGCGAGUCAAUCGGCCUGAUCGGUGCUUCCUUUACACGUCCCGCCUUACCGACGGUACCAACACUUGGCGUACAACUUCUUGUUUGUCCGUGGGAACGACUGACUUCCAAAGUCAGCCUAGUGCAAGACAUGCCUACUGCUACUGUAAUUCUUCCGUCAACUGUACAUAUCACGAAAUCCCGGAAGUGUAUCAGAACGAAGUCCUCAUAAACCAGUCUUCUCGUUUCCCGGGCAUGUUUGACCAUAUUACUUUAAAGAGUUCUUCCGUCUAUGAAGAUCGCAGUUGUUCAGGUCACCUUGAUACCAAUGUAGUUCACUUUCUUUCUGUCCCGUCGUUUUAUGUUGCAACUUUGUCCUCUUGGAACUUCGACCACCGCGGACAAGUUACGUUCAUCUUUUCUUCAACCUAUUGGACUUCCUUUUUCCUCUUGUUUCAUUCCUUUCCCAAAGAAGACUGUGGUCAAACACGUGAGACCGUAAAGGUAGCUAAAGAUGACGGCUGAAGGUCAAGCUAGAACUCUUUCGUAGACUCCAAUAUCAUCUACGUCGAUGACUAAAGCACGUCUUCGUACUAUUACAUUCUGAUCAAGAACAACUGAACUCGGUUUUUAGUUCUUAUAACAGUAAUCAGUUCCUGUUCCGACGAUUCUUCUCGAAACUGAGGUCGUCUAAAAAGUGUAAACACCCUCUGUAGUGAGUCAACGUGAGGUUUCCUCCAGAAGUUACGUUGCAGUAACGAUUACGACGGUUGACCUCCAAUUUUGGACCUCCACCUCCCCAAUUACGUCGAUAUAAAUUACGACGACCUCUUCGAAAUGUCGUACGUUGGUUCCUUACACGACUGUGCAACUCUGGACCAUUGAGACAACGACAAGGUGAAGGUAGUUGAAGGGGAGACGUAGUUGUCCUUCCCCACUGGGUACAGUAUGUACACGAGCCUGGUUUAUACUUGGGUUACGCAGGUCUAACAGACUUCUUACUGAUAUGGUUUCCCACAUUGCAAGAAGCACUCCGUAUAUUAAGUCAAAAACUCUUGAAACGUAGGUAACGAGCCUCGAUGGGUCCCUUCGUCUUACUACUUUGAAGUAGUUCCUUCAGUCGUAGACCUCACUAAAGUGGAUUACUAAGUUUUUGCUUCGCUCUCCCGUAGCUACUAAGACUUUCCUGGUUUUUCACAUUCAACGAAGGUAGAUAAAACUGAAGUGUUCAGUUGUGGUACUCGCGUUUCCCUGGUUGUGUGAUUCAAUAGUACUAUUGAGGUACCCAAGUAGACUACGAGGUUUGGUUCGUUCUCUCCUUCUGUUGUUCUUCUUACCACCCCAGUGGUUGUUCUGAACCCCUAGGACCCGUGUUAGGGAAAUACUCCAACGGUACGUGGGUCUUUUUAUAUUCUUGCGCCUAAGAUAGGAACUCUAUAGACUACUUAAACAACAAGACUUCCUGGAGAUAGGGUUCCGGUUUUCCGUACACAACCACUAUAGAUCCUGUCUACCAGAACUAAGAGAUCGUCUACAGUUCUUUCACGUGAAUGGUGACGAAUCCUCAAACGUAAGUCGACCCGACUUCACCCGUGUAUUCAAGGAUCUCCUUCUGCGUAGAGACUGCAAGUCCGAACCUAUAGUAAGCCAAGGCAGGUACGCCGUCAACGUGGAGGUACAGUAUUCGGUCCUAAAGUUGAGUGGGUCGAACUUUUUGUUCUUCGUGACCUUGAGGAAGUGGUCACGUAAAAAGGAACUAAGACAACUACAGUACCUGCUGCAACUGGUCGUACCUAGACGCUGAUAGUUGGGACUACUCUUCGAAGAGCGUUACCUCGAUUCCACGGUGUCUACGUCCUCGCGGGUGGGUUUAUAAGGGUUCGAGUUUAGGGUGUAGCCCCGGACGUUCAGGGGGAAGGGGAGGGUAGAAGACUUCUUCCUGUUCGACAACAGUCAAAGCUGCCCCGCGUGCCCGACGUCAAUCUCGCAUCUUCAAUCGUCGUGAUAGGAACAUUCGUGUAAAAUGCAAAGCACGAAAAUCUUCCUACCCGGUCUAGCUCCAAAUAAAACAUACCGCUACAAUGAACGCGUUUGAAUAAGGCGUCAGUCGACUCG